UCAACUAGACGUUGAACUGAUGUCAAUGCCCAGUGGGAGACCACUGUUCAUUAUUCCAUUAGUUCGCAAAGAGGCAGGAGCGAUUAGAGCUCAGUCAAAUCAAGAAUAUAUGCGUUCUGAGUUUUGAUCAAUGCUGGGAAUAAUAUUUAGAUGUUGACCUGUAAAAAACUUUCUUUACUGUGUACAUGUUUAUUUUUUUCAAACUAGAAAACAUUAUAGAGGUCCGGAUCUCGGUGUCUUCAUAUGUAGCUACAGCACUGGAUAGAGAGCAGGCUAGACAGUUAGACUGGUAGACUAUAUUGACAUGUGGUAAAGUUAGCGCCCGGGAAGGUUUAGUGAAUAAGUACCAAAGCACCUUGAGAUAGGGGAGAUGCAUGGAAGCAGAUGGGGAAACGUGGCUAGGAUGGAAGAAAUUAUGUAGCAAAAUUCCAAUACGUUUUGAACUGUCCCUAACCUCAAAUCUUUCAGUGUGUUUCAGUGUACCCGGUGUGUGCUAUGGAGAGUCCUAAGAGGAGAAUGGCCUUUAAGAAGCUGAAAGGGAGGUGCAUCGCUGAGCUGCUGCCCUUGGGCUGUACCUCCAUCGCUUAGCCAGCCCCCAGACGGAAGCCAACCACAAGGUGUCUCAGGCUGCCAGCAACUGUCUCAGGACCAAGGUGUCCUUCAGGACCAAGGCUGUAGUCUACUACACGGAAAUCCUGAGGAACAGCGAUGUCCAGCUCCAGCAGACUGCCUGUCUGGCCCUCAAGUGUCUCAAAGCGAUGGAGAGCGUGGAGCAGGAGGUUGAGUUGUGGUGGUCAUCUGACGAGGACCUGCGCAGUGCUGUUAGAGAGACCGUGCUAUCAUAUGGUUCAGGAACUUCAGUGGAUGCUCGUGCCUGCACGCCAUCCCAAACACACCAGUUAUGUCCAGUUUCUGGGUUUUGUGUUUGGAUCACAGCACAUCCCGGCUUGAAAUCCCUGGCACCCCUGUAAAAUUAAGUGAAUAAGCAUGAGUGAAAAAAGUCAUCCAUAUUCACUAAGCAGUUCAUGUUUCAUGAAAUCUGUUCAACAUAAAUAUUUUUAUGGACAGAAUAGUCCAAUGCUAAAAUAACACCAUCAAGGAUAAAUGUCUUCUCCUGAAUUUAAUAAAACCUUUUAACUUCUCCAACAUUAGCCCAGCUGUUGAUUAUACACACAAACACACAUCACACAAGUGACACAGACGAGGGCUAGUGAAAUUAACUGAUUGUGAGAUACAUCACAUUCUUUAAAAUCCAGUAUACCUCAGUUGGUGUGUCUGAUGCUCCUCCUACAAAGCAGUCGACAUUGUCUUGGUCACAAAAGAACCGCCCAGCAUGUUUAGGACCCUCAAUGCUGGUCCCAAAUGAUCUUUGGCCUACCUCUAAAGUAAAUAACAGUCAGAAGA